UGGGGAAUAUUGCACAAUGGGCGCAAGCCUGAUGCAGCCAUGCCGCGUGUGUGAAGAAGGCCUUCGGGUUGUAAAGCACUUUCAGCGAGGAGGAAGGGUAGUGUGUUAAUAGCACAUUGCAUUGACGUUACUCGCAGAAGAAGCACCGGCUAACUCCGUGCCAGCAGCCGCGGUAAUACGGAGGGUGCAAGCGUUAAUCGGAAUUACUGGGCGUAAAGCGCACGCAGGCGGUUUGUUAAGUCAGAUGUGAAAUCCCCGCGCUUAACGUGGGAACUGCAUUUGAAACUGGCAAGCUAGAGUCUUGUAGAGGGGGGUAGAAUUCCAGGUGUAGCGGUGAAAUGCGUAGAGAUCUGGAGGAAUACCGGUGGCGAAGGCGGCCCCCUGGACAAAGACUGACGCUCAGGUGCGAAAGCGUGGAGAGCAAACAGGAUUAGAUACCCUGGUAGUCCACGCUGUAAAACGAUGUCGACUUGGAGGUUGUGCCCUUGAGGCGUGGCUUCCGGAGCUAACGCGUUAAGUCGACCGCCUGGGGAGUACGGCCGCAAGGUUAAAA
rnacentral:rRNA from 1 species